UACGGAGGGUGCAAACGUUGCUCGGAAUCAUUGGGCGUAAAGCGCGUGUAGGCGGCUUUGCAAGUCGGGUGUGAAAGCCCUCGGCUCAACCGAGGAAGUGCGCCCGAAACUGCAGAGCUUGAGUGCCGGAGAGGGUGGCGGAAUUCCCCAAGUAGAGGUGAAAUUCGUAGAUAUGGGGAGGAACACCGGUGGCGAAGGCGGCCACCUGGACGGUAACUGACGCUGAGACGCGAAAGCGUGGGGAGCAAACAGG
rnacentral:rRNA from 1 species